GAUGAACGCUGGCGGCGUGCCUAAUACAUGCAAGUCGAGCGAAUGACGAGGAGCUUGCUCCUCUGAUUUAGCGGCGGACGGGUGAGUAACACGUGGGUAACCUGCCUGUAAGACGGGGAUAACUCCGGGAAACCGGAGCUAAUACCGGAUGAUAACGAGAAGCUCCUGCUUCUUUUUUGAAAGUCGGUUUCGGCUGACGCUUACAGAUGGGCCCGCGGCGCAUUAGCUAGUUGGUGAGGUAACGGCUCACCAAGGCGACGAUGCGUAGCCGACCUGAGAGGGUGAUCGGCCACACUGGGACUGAGACACGGCCCAGACUCCUACGGGAGGCAGCAGUAGGGAAUCUUCGGCAAUGGACGAAAGUCUGACCGAGCAACGCCGCGUGAGCGAUGAAGGCCUUCGGGUCGUAAAGCUCUGUUGUCAGAGAAGAACAAGUACCGGAGUAACUGCCGGUACCUUGACGGUACCUGACCAGAAAGCCACGGCUAACUACGUGCCAGCAGCCGCCGUAACAC
rnacentral:rRNA from 1 species